UACGGAAGGGGCAAGCGUUGUUCGGAAUCAUUGGGCGUAAAGGGCGCGUAGGUGGUUCUGUAUGUCUACCGUGAAAGCAUACAGCUCAACUGUAUUUUGUCGGUAGAAACUGCAGGACUUGAGGCUGGGAGGGCUGGUGGAAUUCCCUGUGUAGCGGUGAAAUGCGUAGAGAUGGGGAGAACACUCGUGGCGAAGGCGGCCAGCUAGACCAGUUCUGACACUGAGGCGCGACAGCGUGGGAGCAAACAGG
rnacentral:rRNA from 1 species